CGAUCAAGCGAAUAAGGGCUCCUGACGGAUGCCUUGGCAUUGAGAGGCGAAGAAGGACGUGGCACGCUGCGAUAAGGUCCGGGGAGGCGCGAGCACCCUUUGAUCCGGACAUCUCCGAAUGGGGAAACCCACCUUUACGGUCUUCCACACUGGCUUCAGCUUUCGGGCUGGAUCCGGUUUGGACGGUCGUUCAAAGGUAUAGUGCGGCUGAAUACAUAGGCUGCAUUAAGCAAACCCGGGGAACUGAAACAUCUCAGUACCCGGAGGAAAGGACAUCAACCGAGACUCCCAAAGUAGUGGCGAGCGAAAUGGGACCAGGCCAGUGCUGUUGUGACAUAAAGCCGAACGAUCUGGAAAGUUCGACCAUAGCGGGUGACAGUCCCGUAGGCGUCAAUUAGCAACAGACUCGAGUAGGGCGGGACACGUGAAAUCCUGUCUGAACAUGGGGGGACCACCCUCCAAGCCUAAGUACUCCUCUAUGACCGAUAGCGAACAAGUACCGUGAGGGAAAGGUGAAAAGCACCCCUACAAGGGGAGUGAAACAGAUCCUGAAAUCGGAAGCCUACAAGCAGUCGGAGCCGCCAAGCGCGGUGACGGCGUACCUUUUGUAUAAUGGGUCAGCGACUUCAUCUUACGAGCAAGCUUAAGCCGUUAGGCGUAGGCGCAGCGAAAGCGAGUCUGAAUAGGGCGCUCGAGUUCGUGGGAUGACGACCCGAAACCAGGUGAUCUAUCCAUGAGCAGGUUGAAGGUUGGGUAACACCAACUGGAGGACCGAACCCGUGAAUGUUGAAAAAUUCUGGGAUGACUUGUGGAUAGGGGUGAAAGGCCAAUCAAACCUGGACAUAGCUGGUUCUCCGCGAAAACUAUUUAGGUAGUGCCUCGGACUUAUUCUUCGGGGGGUAGAGCACUGGAUGGAUGCGGGCUGCGCGAGUGGUACCAAUUCUAACCAAACUCCGAAUACCCGAAAGAACUAUCCGGGAGACACACGGCGGGUGCUAACGUCCGUCGUGAAAAGGGAAACAACCCUAACCUACAUCUAAGGCCCCCAAGUAACGGCUAAGUGGGAAACGAUGUGGGAAUGCAUUGACAACCAGGAGGUUGGCUUAGAAGCAGCCAUCCUUUAAAGAAAGCGUAACAGCUCACUGGUCAAGCGUUCCUGCGCGGAAAAUGUAACGGGGCUUAAGCCGUUCGCCGAAG
rnacentral:rRNA from 1 species